CUUCAGUGAUGAUACGAUGACGAGUCGGAACUGGACUCACUCUGGUUCUGUUGGUUUGUGGUUCAGAGUCACGUUCUGUGGUUCUGCUCCCAGUCUUCAGAUCAGGACGUCCUUUUUGGUUGAAGACAUCGAGGCAUUUGUCUGAGAAGG